CCCCAAAUAGUCCAAUCGGCAGAGACACGGAGCUCAAACCUCCGGAAGUAUGAGUUCGAAUCUCAUUUUGGGGA
rnacentral:tRNA from 1 species